rnacentral:rRNA from 1 species
GACGAACGCUGGCGGCGUGCUUAACACAUGCAAGUCGAGCGGUAAGGCCCUUUCGGGGGGUACACGAGCGGCGAACGGGUGAGUAACACGUGGGUGACCUGCCCUCAGCUCUGGGAUAAGCCUGGGAAACCGGGUCUAAUACUGGAUAUGACUCCAUGACGCAUGUUGUGGGGUGGAAAGCCUUGUGCGGCUGAGGAUGGGGCCCGCGGCCUAUCAGCUUGUUGGUGGGGUGANGGCCUACCAAGGCGACGACGGGUAGCCGGCCUGAGAGGGCGACCGGCCACACUGGGACUGAGACACGGCCCAGACUCCUACGGGGAGGCAGCAGUGGGGGAAUCUUGCGCAAAUGGGCGAAAGCCUGACGCAGCGACGCCGCGUGAGGGAUGACGGCCU